GCCCAAGAGAUCGGGAUAACACCUGGAAGCAGAUGCUAAUACCGGAUAACAACAGAUGAUGCCUAUCAACUGUUUAAAAGAUGGUUCUGCUAUCACUCUUGGAUGGACCUGCGGUGCAUUAGCUAGUUGGUAGGGUAACGGCCUACCAAGGCGAUGAUGCAUAGCCGAGUUGAGAGACUGAUCGGCCACAUUGGGACUGAGACACGGCCCAAACUCCUACGGGAGGCAGCAGUG
rnacentral:rRNA from 1 species